AACGUAGGAGACAAACGUUAUCCGGAGUUACUGGGCGUAAAGGGCGUGUAGGUGGUUUCGUAAGUCUGGCGUGAAAUUUUUCGGCUUAACCGGGAAAGGACGUCGGAUACUGCGGAGCUAGAGGACGGUAGAGGCGUGUGGAAUUCCGGGUGUAGUGGUGAAAUGCGUAGAGAUCCGGAGGAACACCAGUGGCGAAGGCGACACGCUGGGCCGUACCUGACACUGAUGCGCGACAGCAUGGGGAGCAAACAGG
rnacentral:rRNA from 1 species